CACUGCGCAUGCGCAAAGCAAUUUUACACGUGGCAAGUACCUGACAAGUAAGGAGAGCUUAGAGAUGGCUUACAGGAGCGACUGCAAUCCGCCCAAAAAAGAGGAAAGUGUCGCUUUCAUUAAAGAGAAGGAAGGUGGAGAAGACAGCGAGCGUUUAAGAAGAAAGAAGGAAGGUGGUGAGGACAGCGAGCGUUUUGUUGCUGUAUCGAAAGAGGCUUUAGAAGACCUAUUGAUGAGUGCAGUGAAGGAUCAUCAGCCAAUUUCCAUAUACCAAGAGAGGAUGAUGGUGUCUUUGAUGAGAUUAAUUUCUCUGAGAUAUAUGGUCCAGCCUCUGACAAGAUAGUACGUCAGUACAAGGAUGAUGCCCUGGGUCUACCCACUCCUUACAUACCGUCAAAGAGACCACGCUAUGAGUCAAAGGGAAGGAGCUAUAGCUCACCUCGUCCUAAGCCAAGUCCUUAUGUGCAUGGAGCCUAUUGAUCUUCAUCUCGUUAUUAUCCACCUCCCAAUCGGGGUUACUAUGCUCCUCCUCCCCCACCUCAUUAUCGUAGUUAUUAUGCUCCUCCUCCUCCUCCUCCUGGUGCUGGUGGGUGGGGCCACAUGAGAGGGCGUUACGGUCACCCACCACCACCGCCUCCUCCUAACCCUCGCUAUGGGGCACCACGCCCGUACUACAGUAACAGAGGCAGUGGUGGAUAUUAUAAUCGCUAUUAAAAAACAACCAACUAACUCUCUUUCCUCUCUAUCUUUUCUUUAUUUUGUUAUAAUUGUGCACAUUUUUGAACUUUACAUAUUGUAAUGAUGCAUGCAUACAUACACCAUCAUACCUUGGCUUUCUUUGUUUUAGAUAAGAUAGUUAAUUCAUUGUGUGUCCAAACACCAGUAAACCA